rnacentral:rRNA from 1 species
GAUGAACGCUAGCGGCAGGCUUAAUACAUGCAAGUCGAGGGGUAACAGGGGUAGCAAUACCUGCUGACGACCGGCAAACGGGUGCGGAACACGUACGCAACUUUCCCAAAACUCGGUGAAUAGCCCUCCGAAAGGAGGAUUAAUACACCGUAACAUAAUGAAGUGGCAUCACUUUAUUAUUAUAGCUCCGGCGGUUUUGGAUGGGCGUGCGCCUGAUUAGGUAGUUGGCGGGGUAACGGCCCGACCAAGCCUGCGAUCAGUAACUGGUGUGAGAGCACGACCAGUCACACGGGCACU